GAUGAACGUUGGCGGCGUGCCUAACACAUGCAAGUCGAGCGGAGAAGCAGUGCGUGAGCUUUUCGGAGUGAACUCUUUUCGGAUCAGCGGCGGACGGGUGCGUAAUACAUGAGGAACCAGCACUCUACAAGGGGAUAGCCGGGGGAAACCGCGAUUAAUAGCCUAUGAGACGACGAUGGCGCAUGCCGUUGGGGGUAAAGGUUUAUCGGUAGAAGAUGGCCGCAUGACGGAUUGGCUGGUUGGUGAUUUAACAGAGCACCAAGGCGGCGAUGGGUAGCCGGGUGGGUAGCGUGACCGGCCACGAUUGAACUGAGGCACAGUCCAGACUCCUACGGGGGACAGCAGUAGGGAGUAUUGCGGAAUGGGGCAAAACCUGAUGCAGCGGCGUCGCGUAAGCGAGGAAGGCCUUCGGGUCGUGAAUCUCUGCCUUAUGGGAAGAAAAGGACGGUACCAGGUAAAGAAGCCCCGGCUAACUACGUG
rnacentral:rRNA from 1 species